GAUGAACGCUGGCGGCGUGCCUAAUACAUGCAAGUCGAGCGAACGGACGAGAAGCUUGCUUUUCUGAUGUUAGCGGCGGACGGGUGAGUAACACGUGGAUAACCUACCUAUAAGACUGGGAUAACUUCGGGAAACCGGAGCUAAUACCGGAUAAUAUUUUGAACCGCAUGGUUCAAAAGUGAAAGACGGUCUUGCUGUCACUUAUAGAUGGAUCCGCGCUGCAUUAGCUAGUUGGUAAGGUAACGGCUUACCAAGGCAACGAUGCAUAGCCGACCUGAGAGGGUGAUCGGCCACACUGGAACUGAGACACGGUCCAGACUCCUACGGGAGGCAGCAGUAGGGAAUCUUCCGCAAUGGGCGAAAGCCUGACGGAGCAACGCCGCGUGAGUGAUGAAGGUCUUCGGAUCGUAAAACUCUGUUAUUAGGGAAGAACAUAUGUGUAAGUAACUGUGCACAUCUUGACGGUACCUAAUCAGAAAGCCACGGCUAACUACGUGCCAGCAGCCGCGGUAAUACGUAGGUGGCAAGCGUUAUCCGGAAUUAUUGGGCGUAAAGCGCGCGUAGGCGGUUUUUUAAGUCUGAUGUGAAAGCCCACGGGCUCACCGUGGAGGGUCAUUGGAAACUGGAAAACUUGAGUGCAGAAGAGGAAAGUGGAAUUCCAUGUGUAGCGGUGAAAUGCGCAGAGAUAUGGAGGAACACCAGUGGCGAAGGCGACUUUCUGGUCUGUAACUGACGCUGAUGUGCGAAAGCGUGGGGAUCAAACAGGAUUAGAUACCCUGGUAGUCCACGCCGUAAACGAUGAGUGCUAAGUGUUAGGGGGUUUCCGCCCCUUAGUGCUGCAGCUAACACAUUAAGCACUCCGCCUGGGGAGUACGACCGCAAGGUUGAAACUCAAAGGAAUUGACGGGGACCCGCACAAGCGGUGGAGCAUGUGGUUUAAUUCGAAGCAACGCGAAGAACCUUACCAAAUCUUGACAUCCUUUGACAACUCUAGAGAUAGAGCCUUCCCCUUCGGGGGACAAAGUGACAGGUGGUGCAUGGUUGUCGUCAGCUCGUGUCGUGAGAUGUUGGGUUAAGUCCCGCAACGAGCGCAACCCUUAAGCUUAGUUGCCAUCAUUAAGUUGGGCACUCUAAGUUGACUGCCGGUGACAAACCGGAGGAAGGUGGGGAUGACGUCAAAUCAUCAUGCCCCUUAUGAUUUGGGCUACACACGUGCUACAAUGGACAAUACAAAGGGCAGCGAAACCGCGAGGUCAAGCAAAUCCCAUAAAGUUGUUCUCAGUUCGGAUUGUAGUCUGCAACUCGACUACAUGAAGCUGGAAUCGCUAGUAAUCGUAGAUCAGCAUGCUACGGUGAAUACGUUCCCGGGUCU
rnacentral:rRNA from 1 species